rnacentral:rRNA from 1 species
UAGUCCACGCAGUAAACGAUGCCGACUAGGCGUGGGAGGACUUGACCCCUUCCGUGCCGGAGCCAACGCGGUAAGUCGGCCGCCUGGGGAGUACGGCCGCAAGGCUAAAACUCAAAGGAAUUGACGGGGGCCCGCACAAGCGGCGGAGCGUGCGGUUUAAUUCGACGCAACGCGCAGAACCUUACCAGGGCUUGACAUGCGACUGCAGGCUCAUGAAAGUGAGCGUCCUUCGAGGGUGUCGCAC